rnacentral:tmRNA from 1 species
GGGGGUGAAUUGGUUUCGACAGAUUCCGUUGAGUCAACGGUCGCAGGCCCUGGAAGGCCUGAGCCAGGUAAAAAUCAGGCCAAAACACAAACGCCACAUCACCUGUGGCCUGGGCCACUGCCUAACCCGCGGUGAGCACACGCCGGUCCCGGACUCCUGCUAAGGGGCGCCGGUGUCAAGAAGCAGGGUGCGGAUUCUCCCGCUGUUCCCGUCGGAGGGAAUCCAAAGAAAAAACGGGGAUAGCCUUAUGAUACUAGUUCGGCUGUUUUCAUAGGGCGAAACCCAAAGCCGGACUAAGCCUGUAGUGACUCUGACCGGCGGUUUUUGGACGCGGGUUCGACUCCCGCCACCUCCACCA